AUGCUGAAUCCACUCCUGCAUACAGAUAAGAGUUGAUUUACAUGGAGCAUGCACUGGUAUGGCACCUGAAGAUUUACUGAGGCACGCAGUGAAAGCUGAAGAAGAAGAAAAGAAGGCAUCAGAACAGUUUGAUAAGCUGAUGAUGACGGAGAGUGACAAACCGAAACAUCCCCUCCCGAAACAACGUGGCUUCCUCUCAGCCUCUGGCAGAGAUCCUCUCCAGGACACCUGCAGUGAGCCCUAGUCACGCAAUGCUGUGUGCGCAAACCUCCAGCAACUUUUCAACCCCGGCACACAAGAAAGCCGUCAAGUACCUGCAAUUGACAGAAUCGCGUGCAAUUCAGGUACUCCUGGAUUGUGCUGGAGCCCGGCCAAAUGGGGAGUUAAGGAAAAGGUGGAGUGGAGCUUCACCUGCCUAAAAUGAUCCAGUCCUUGUUUUGAGGUUUAAGGGAAGCUAUGAUCCCAGAAAUACAAGCAAGCCUGGAGGUGGUUAGGACAUGAAAGUGAGCAACAAUAAUAAACUUCACUUACCAUCAUGCCUUGCGCGUCUACGUCGGGCUGAGCGCAGCAUGUGCUUCACCGCUCUGUUCUCACUAUGGCUCAGUGCUGCUCAGACUCUUCACAGGAGAGCAUCGCACCCGCGGCAGGGAGGCUCGUUGGAGCUGAAGCAGGGAACCAUCACUGCACCGGACCGUAAAGAGGAACCAGGUUCUUUCACUGUCGCUUAUUGGAAAUAAUCACACUGAUCGAUCUGCCUUGAUUUGCCAGAGCACAAAUCAGUUUACGCAAGGAUUCUUUGGGAGAGGAUUAAAUGCUAACUUUAGAGCACUGACACGCGUGGAGCUAUUAUUGUUAUUAUCAUCGGUAAAACUUGAUCACGAUGACAACAGCAGCUGGAUUCAACAGUCCAGCUGUGGAUCGCCCUGGAGGAUAUAAGGAAAUACUGUCUCUUACACGGGAUGAACGGUGUCUUAACACUGUCGCUGCCCCAAGUCCUGCUGCUGGACAAGCUGUUUUGUUGGACAGACGAGUCUCUUGGGAUAUUUCACGCGUGUUCGCGGGUGGCCAGUGUUGUAGAUGGCCGAUAACGUGAUAUGCUUUUGGAAAUUUGUUGUGGUGGAUUUUGGAUUUUGGCGAACGGGAAAGGAAUAUCCUGGAAUAUAUUUUGGAAGCGAUGCUCAGCAGAUGUCCAGCGAUUUGGAUAAUGACAGUGCGCAUCAACUCAUCCAGCAGUGAAGGAAUCCAAAUUCCUAGAAUAAGAUGUCAACCUUUUAAUUGCUUCUCAGGGAUCUUCUGAUGAUCUCAGAUGAGCAACAAGAAGAGGUUGACUAAUGGAAACAUGAUCUCAAGGGAUUCAACAGGAUCAUACUAAAUCCUGGUUUGGACUGUGGACCAGCAAUCCCCUGCAGCAGAUGUUUGCUCCUGGCAUGGCAGCUGACAGCAUGAGCUCCAUCACUGACAAUCGUGCGCUCAGGAUCCAGCGCCAGCAGCUUGGACUUGGAGAAGCUGUGACAUAAACUCAGCAGGACAGGAGAGUGUAUUCUGCUGCUCAGACAUUAUGGAACAGAUCAGUCAGCCCUGUCUGGGGAGGUGCUCGAUAGGAAAGUCGAAACUCGAUGAAUGUGCGUUUACCAUAGACACCACAAUGAAUCUACAUAUUAUUUGACUUUGUCUUAAUUGAACCUGGAUUAAUAUUUUCCUGUAUAUACAUCUGCUUCUGAUAUCCACUGUUUAUUCACACUGUUGCUCAUACACUUGUACUGUAGUUGUGACAUUUACUGUGUUAUUCUGGGACCCGUAUCAACAAGUGCUGGAACCGUAAAUGGAAAAUAAUCAGAUGCUAUUUUCAUUUUUAAGACUAUUUUAACAAACUGAAGGCAGCGCUUGCGACAGCGCAGGCACAUUCUGUCUGGUGAAUAGCACAAUAAAUGUCUACUGUUUUGUAGGACAAAUAAAUACAUAUGUGGUCAAGAUUCCACGCAAUAAUUACUCAUAUAAUUCCUGGAAAUGUACAUAAUCAUCUUCUAAGGUCAAUAACAAAGAAGCUAUUAUCUAAAAGGUGCUGAUGAAUGCAAAUCAAAAACCUCUCCUAUUGACACGGCAUUUCACUGUGACAGAUUGACAGCCCAUCAUAUUGCUUAAUAACCCUGUCAAGCUGCUUAUUCUCAUGAUGAUUUGUAACUCCAUAACUUUUGUUGCGUCUGUGAAACCCUAUUAACAGAAAUAAUAAUAAAACAAAGUGUAUCCAA